UUGCUUCAGCAGUACAUAUACUAAAAUUGGAACAAUACAGAGAAGAUUAAUAUGGGCCCUGAUUAAAGAUGACAUGCAAAUUUUGAAGCGUUCUAUAUUUUU